rnacentral:miRNA from 1 species
CCAUGAAGCAGUGGGUAGGAGGAC